GACGAACGCUGGCGGCGUGCCUAAUACAUGCAAGUCGAACGCAGUGGGGACGGGUGAGUAACACGUGGGUAACCUCCCAUCAGAGGGGAUAACACUUGGAAACAGGUGCUAAACCGAUACUGAUGGAUGGACCCGCUGUGCAUUAGCUAGUUGGGGAGGUAACGGCUAACCAAGGCCACGAUGGAUAGCCGACCUGAGAGGGGUAUCGGCCACACUGGGACUGAGACACGGCCCAGACUCCUACGGGAGGCAGCAGUAGGGAAUCUUCGGCAAUGGACGAAAGUCUGACCGAGCAACGCCGCGUGAGUGAAGAAGGUUUUCGGAUCGUAAAGCUCUGUUGUUAGAGAAGCGGUAGCUAAAGAGAAAGCCACGGCUAACUACGUGCCAGCAGGCGCGGUAAGAG
rnacentral:rRNA from 1 species